UUGACCUCAAAUCAGGUAGGACUACCCGCUGAACUUAAGCAUACA
rnacentral:rRNA from 2 species